UACGUAGGGUGCGAGCGUUAAUCGGAAUUACUGGGCGUAAAGCGUGCGCAGGCGGCGCGUUAAGACAGGUGUGAAAGCCCCGAGCUUAACUUGGGAAUUGCGCUUGUGACUGGCGGGCUGGAGUGUGGCAGAGGGAGGUGGAAUUCCACGUGUAGCAGUGAAAUGCGUAGAGAUGUGGAGGAACACCGAUGGCGAAGGCAGCCUCCUGGGCCAGCACUGACGCUGAUGAGCGAAAGCUAGGGGAGCAAACGGG
rnacentral:rRNA from 1 species